GUCUGCUCACCCUUGCGGCUUGGAGCUUCUCCCGCAUGCGCUCCCUCAUGGAAAACUCUGCGAAGCCCGUUCUGGAUGUUGAAGGAAUUGGAGGGCUUCACGCGAGCAACCAUGAGAUGUGCUGCAGCCCCGCUUUGGAUGCAGGAAGGUGUGUCUUGGCUUGGAGGCUGACAGGGAAAAUGGCUCUGCCAGGACUGUCGCCCCAACUUAACCAAGAAUAAAGGGAAUGGCACCUGAGGCCCAACUCAGAUUCCACUGGGGAGAGGCCCUGACAUUCAUGGAUUGGGAACAGACGCCUAAGGAGUCAAGCCUUUCACUUUGAGCAGAGAAAUCUCUUCUCCAGGCCUUGGCCACAGCCCCGCUCAGUGGCAUAGAGAUGCAGUGUGUUUUGUCCAUAGUAUGAAAUACGGACAACACAUCUGGAACCAGUGGGCAGCUGAUGUGUGGCAGGCACUGUGACACACGUCAAAUGCACCGUCUCCUCGGUCUCCUCCUGGCAGACCCUGGGUGUCCCUGACCCAGGCAGGAGACGACACAGACUCUGAGGCCCUGUGUGGUAAGUGCCUGGCUCCACCAUCACACACGCAGCAUGCAAAGUGUGUAGGAUCUGGUCCCAGCUUUACACUUCUGAUGCUCUACAACCUGACAGGAGAGGUGGCGAUAAAAGGACUGAUCAACAGAGUGCCAGCCUCAUGGGAGCAGAGUCCCUACCGGGAAGGGGGGGCUGGAGUUUGGGGUUCAGUUGGGGAGCCUGAGGUGUCCCACAGAGGAGCUUUGGCUCUGCUCUCCAAGCUGCUCGGAAGACAGAGAAACCCUCCCACCUUGGCAAAAUUCCAGGGAUGGAAAUGUGAACCUGGAGUGCGGGAGCAGCACCCGGCAGAAGCCAGCUUGAUUCAGGAGCUGAAACUGGAAAGGAGAAGAGGUUGUAUCCCGCGGGGCUGGGAGGAAAGCUGUAAUGACGUGGACAAUGCAAGGACCUAAAGUAUCACCAGCCACAGUCAAAGCUCUGGGGACACAGGAUUCUGCCAACAAGCAGGGAAAAGCCAGGGCAAGGAAGGGGCCAAAUGGCUAAGGACAGUCACCAGUAGGGUGGAAGAAUGAGGUGGUUACCCACUGAAGGGUAUGAACGGAGGGUGACACAACCUGAUUUUUUUUUUUUUUUGGUACAGGAGAUUGAACUCGGGACCUUGCGCUUGCGAGGCAGGUGGCAGAACCACUGAGCUAAAUCCCUGGCCCACAACCUGAUUUUUAUAAGAUUUCUCUGGCACCUUGGUCAAGAAUGAGGGGAGAAUGCAAGCAAAGAGACCAGUUAGGAGGCUCUCGCAAGACCUAGUCGUAAAUGCACACUCGGUCUGGCAGGGGCCAGGCUGAGGAAAACAGCGUGUGGACAGGAUCAAAGCCUUGAGGUACCAACAGGAAUCGGUGUUGAUACAGAAAGCAGGGCCACGCUAGGAACUCGAAUGCACGACACCGGGCAGCUGGGCUGUGAGUGAGGGCUCCAAAGACGAGAAGAGGAGCAGCCAGAGAGGCAGAAGGAGAACCAGGGUUGGACUUGAGAUCAGCUGGCUUCCAAAAUCCUCUCAUUUGCAACAGUUACUUUAUCCUCCCUGUGCACAGUGAUACAGUGUAACAGAGGACAGUUGCUCCUUAGCAGGGCCACAGAGUUACCUUGGAAAGGUUUGUCUCGUCCUGGCUUAAGAGGAACUCCUGCGGAGACGGGGGAGGGACGGAGCAGCCCGGGGCCAGGGGCUGGCUGCUGGCUCAGACUGAAGUGGAAUUUGGCCUUGGGGUGAAGAAAGAGGGGUUCCCUGGGAUCUGCAAUCCUGCACUGCCAUCUACUGCCAGUCCUUGGUUAUGGCCCGAGUGACAACGCUGAAACACGCUUCAUCCAUUCUUGGUUGACUGCUCACAGGAGCCCGGAAGAAACUUAAAGGAAAAACGCUCCAAGUACAAACCACAGCCCUAUCGUGAGGAUCGCCCACCAGCCCGCACACCAGGGCUCCCACACCGGUGUCCAUCUGCAGUCCCCAGAGCAGCCGGGAGUUUGUGCCCACAGGAAGGGUGCUGUUCCUGACAGAGUCGGUGUCCACCAAGGGGUGCAGGCAGGCCGCAGGUCACUGACACCAUGCACAAGCAGAGCUUCCCUUCACCUCCUACCUGUUUCUUUUUUCGAUGUCUUUCAGCCUUUGAAUUCUUCUUCCACCUUCCCACAUCUGCCUCCUCGUCAUUUUCAGUGAACUCCUUUGUUAAAAUGCAAAGGGAACAGGGGAGAGAAUCUUAUGAGAGGAAGCGGGGUAUGAUUUUCAAGUAUCAGAAUUAAAAACACCAUGUUGACCUCGGGUCUGCAUCCAUGACAUCAAAUGUGAGCGAAGGAACAGUUAGCACAAUCUAAGUGGCCGUCACAUCUGCUCUUCUCAAAAUAACAAGCUCUUGAAAACCUGAACCCAAGUGAAAUAGUUGUAGACAUGAUAUUGGAGUGCCGUUGUUGCAGGUCUGCAUUUAUGGCUAUGAGAUUUAUGGGGCACUUACUAUGUUCCAGCUCUGGGGGCCUCAGGACAGAGUACAGCACACUGCCCACUCACCAUCAAAGAAAGGCAACUACCAAGGGAAGCUGUCAGGACAGACGGCGAGCCAUAGCUCAGGACAAACAUCAGACUCAUGCCCGGGAUUCCACAGCUGUCCUUUCCAGCCUCGCCGGCAGGUGAGGAAAAAUGAAAACACAGCACAUGCUAAAUCACCACGAGAAUCGUAACGCAGAGAAAAGUUUGGCAAAUCUUUUUGAAAUGGGAAAAUCGCAAAGGUCAUUUUCUUUGCACAUUAUACUUUUUAGCAUUUUAGACAAAAUAUUAGAGCUGAAAACUUGAAAGUAUCCAAGCCCUAAAGUUUUCUUGUCCUAGAGUUUUACAGAGUGGGUCAUGAGCACCUGUGGAGUCAAGGAGAAGUUGCAAGAUAAACGUGGACCCUCUCCUGGCAAACCAAAUUCAUUAGACCUCUUUUUCUAAAAUUGUUGCUUUUUCUAAAUAUGUUGCUUUUAUCCUAGAACACAAAGCCCGGAUCUUAAUGAUAUGAGAAGGUUUCAAAGAACUCGAAUGCAGGUUGUGGGGCCAGGGCCCAACUACUGCUCCGUUCCCUAGGCCACUGGGCUUAGGGAAGCCAGGAGCUUCGGUUACGGAGGAGAGAGCUGAAGUCGACUGGAGCAUGGCUUUGGUGGGGAUUUUCCUGGUCUUUGCGAAUGCUCUCCUUCCUCAGGGUCCACCAGAUACAGCAUUCUUAGCUUAGAGAUUCACCAACUUAAUUACGAGAUGAUGGUAAUAUGGAGGUGUGCAGGGAUGGCUCUUUACACAAAUCUGGUUUUGUUGGCUUAGAAUGGACUUGUGAGAAGUCUAGGUCAUUUUUUCCUUUCCAAUAAUAUUUCAUCUUUGAUCAUUAGAAAACUGACUGGUAAAACUUGCAAUAAGAUGGAAUGGGAGCUCCAUGCGGGCACUGGAUUUUGGUCACUGUGGAAUCCCCAGGGACUAGAGACACAGACAAUAUUUGUUUCAUGCAUCAGUGGGCAAAUACAGAGCUGUGUGGCUUGUAGGUACUUAGUAUCAUGGUUAAAGUUAAUCUGCAUGGUUUUCAUAAUGUGUUCCCUGAGGAGUUUGGAAGCAUUACAUUGGAAACAGUGCACUUUCUCUCUCUGGUCUUUAACCAGUGAGCCCUUAAGCCCAGGGAGAAGCAAGGAUCGAGAGGAGCAAGCAUUCUCUCUGCCAAAUUGGAGAUGGUUUUCCUUCUGUGGGCUGUGCGGGGCUUUAGUGAGUUUGUGCACCAUGAGACAGAAAUUUCCAGGCUCGAGCACAGAGGGUUUUAUUAGCAAAUGUAAUCAAUGCAAUCUACAACUGUGGCCUUCCUUCUCAACUUUAUAGGAAAGCAUGGUCUUCAGGCAGAGGUGGGCCCAGGAGCGGGUGGUGAGUGGGAGCUACUGUGUGCUGCAAUUCAGUUUCACAGCAUUUGUGGAAAAGACAGACAGAGGCGCCUAUGGGCCUGCAGCACCCCUCACCACCCACCUCCUCUUCUCCACCAUGUGCCUGAGAGGGAAGGCCUGGCAACUAAACUUGGCCUGAGGGUGCCUCCGUACUUGGAGUCUUUCCUUAAACUGCAACCUAACUUAGCACUAAGUAAUUGAAAGCCUAACUUACGAGUAUACACUGUAGCAAAUAACUGAGUCUCACAAUCACAGAAGCUCAAUCAAUCGGAGGUAGUCAAUGGAUCAGAUCACGUUCAACUAAGGCAGCACUGAACUGCAACCAAGCAAGCAUUUCCGUUAGUUCCUCACUUUCAUUUCCCAUCCUUAGAUGCUCUCGAACCUCUGCUAGUUCUGAGUGCUAUCUUACUCAUAAAGUGCCUUGGUCCAACUAAGAGCUGUUAAAUUGAAUCUAACAGUUUUUUAAAACCACAUGCAAUUCAUGCUUGUUGUUGGCCUUAAGUUUCUCAUUAAAAAAUACAUCCCAAAGGGACAUCGGAA